rnacentral:rRNA from 1 species
AGAGUUUGAUCCUGGCUCAGGAUGAACGCUAGCUACAGGCUUAACACAUGCAAGUCGCGGGGCAGCAUGAAUUUAGCUUGCUAAAUUUGAUGGCGACCGGCGCACGGGUGAGUAACGCGUAUCCAACCUUCCCCUGUCCACGGGAUAGCCCGUCGAAAGGCGGAUUAAUACCGUAUGAGGUCACAUGACGGCAUCAGAGUGUGACGAAAGGUUUGGCGGACAGGGAUGGGGAUGCGUCCGAUUAGCUAGUUGGCGGGGUAACGGCCCACCAAGGCGACGAUCGGUAGGGGUUCUGAGAGGAAGGUCCCCCACAUUGGAACUGAGACACGGUUCCAAACUCCUACGGGAGGCAGCAGUGAGGAAUAUUGGUCAAUGGGCGAGAGCCUGAACCAGCCAAGUAGCGUGCAGGACGACGGCCCUAUGGGUUGUAAACUGCUUUUAUGCGGGGAUAACGUGCGCCACGUGUGGUGUAUUGCAGGUACCGCAUGAAUAAGGACCGGCUAAUUCCGUGCCAGCAGCCGCGGUAAUACGGAAGGUCCGGGCGUUAUCCGGAUUUAUUGGGUUUAAAGGGAGCGUAGGCCGCUGUUUAAGCGUGUUGUGAAAAACCGGGGCUCAACUCCGGUCGUGCAGCGCGAACUGGACGGCUUGAGUGCGCGGUAAGUGGGCGGAAUUUGUGGUGUAGCGGUGAAAUGCUUAGAUAUCACGAAGAACUCCGAUUGCGAAGGCAGCUCACUGUAGCGCAACUGGCGCUGAAGCUCGAAAGUGCGGGUAUCGAACAGGAUUAGAUACCCUGGUAGUCCGCACGGUAAACGAUGGAUGCCCGCUGUUCCGGCAAUAGCUGGAGUGGCCAAGCGA